CUUACCAGGCCUUGACAUGCAAAGAACUUUCCAGAGAUGGAUUGGUGCCUUCGGGAACUCGGAAACAGGUGUUGCAUGGCGGUCGUCAGCUCGUGUCGUGAGAUGUUGGGUUAAGUCCCGUAACGAGCGCAACCCUUGUCCUUAGUUACCAGCACGUAAUGGUGGGCACUCUAAGGAGACUGCCGGUGACAAACCGGAGGAAGGUGGGGAUGACGUCAAGUCAUCAUGGCCCUUACGGCCUGGGCUACACACGUGCUACAAUGGUCGGUACAAAGGGUUGCCAAGCCGCGAGGUGGAGCUAAUCCCAAAAAACCGAUCGUAGUCCGGAUCGCAGUCUGCAACUCGACUGCGUGAAGUGGGAAUCGCGUAGUAAUGGCGCAUCA
rnacentral:rRNA from 1 species